rnacentral:rRNA from 1 species
GUGAAGCCCAGCUUGCUGGGUGGAUCAGUGGCGAACGGGUGAGUAACACGUGAGCAAUCUGCCCCUGACUCUGGGAUAAGCGCUGGAAACGGCGUCUAAUACUGGAUACGAGCUGCGAUCGCAUGGUCAGUAGCUGGAAAGAUUUUUUGGUCAGGGAUGAGCUCGCGGCCUAUCAGCUUGUUGGUGAGGUAAUGGCUCACCAAGGCGUCGACGGGUAGCCGGCCUGAGAGGGUGACCGGCCACACUGGGACUGAGACACGGCCCAGACUCCUACGGGAGGCAGCAGUGGGGAAUAUUGCACAAUGGGCGCAAGCCUGAUGCAGCAACGCCGCGUGAGGGAUGACGGCCUUCGGGUUGUAAACCUCUUUUAGCAGGGAAGAAGCGAAAGUGACGGUACCUGCAGAAAAAGCGCCGGCUAACUACGUGCCAGCAGCCGCGGUAAUACGUAGGGCGCAAGCGUUAUCCGGAAUUAUUGGGCGUAAAGAGCUCGUAGGCGGUUUGUCGCGUCUGCUGUGAAAUCCCGAGGCUCAACCUCGGGUCUGCAGUGGGUACGGGCAGACUAGAGUGCGGUAGGGGAGAUUGGAAUUCCUGGUGUAGCGGUGGAAUGCGCAGAUAUCAGGAGGAACACCGAUGGCGAAGGCAGAUCUCUGGGCCGUAACUGACGCUGAGGAGCGAAAGGGUGGGGAGCAAACAGGCUUAGAUACCCUGGUAGUCCACCCCGUAAACGUUGGGAACUAGUUGUGGGGUCCAUUCCACGGAUUCCGUGACGCAGCUAACGCAUUAAGUUCCCCGCCUGGGGAGUACGGCCGCAAGGCUAAAACUCAAAGGAAUUGACGGGGACCCGCACAAGCGGCGGAGCAUGCGGAUUAAUUCGAUGCAACGCGAAGAACCUUACCAAGGCUUGACAUACACCAGAACACCGUAGAAAUACGGGACUCUUUGGACACUGGUGAACAGGUGGUGCAUGGUUGUCGUCAGCUCGUGUCGUGAGAUGUUUGGGUUAAGUCCCGCAACGAGCGCAACC